CAAUGCCAGUGGCAGCAGAAACCCAGAUAUUGUGACCCCAAUCCUUCCAGGGAGAGCUAGCCGGAGCCUGUCACAGCAUGCCAAAGGGUGUCUUGGAGGUGACAGAGCAGUUUGGAAAAGGGUUUUCUACAAGUGACGCUUCCUCCACCGUGCACUAGACCACAGACGAACUGGGGACUCUUAAAAGGGAUGGCCAAGUGGCGUGUUGGUUAAGAGUUGGCUUGGGA